rnacentral:rRNA from 1 species
GGCGACCGCUUUUGGAGUUCGAUUAAGCCAUGCGAGUCGAGAGCCUUAGGGGCUCGGCAUACCGCUCAGUAACACGUGGAUAACCUGCCCUAUUGUCUGGAAUAACCUCGGGAAACUGAGAACAAGGCCGGAUAGCCCACAAUGCCUGGAACGGUUUGUGGGUGAAGAUAGGAUGGGUCUGCGGCGUAUCAGGUCGUAGGGGGUGUAAUGGACCUCCUAGCCAUCGACGCGUACGGGUGUUGGGAGACAUAGCCCGGAGAUGGAUUCUGAGACACGAAUCCAGACCCUACGGGGUGCAGCAGGCGCGAAAACUUCACACUGCAGGAAACUGUGAUGAGGGAACUCCAAGUGCAUGCACUAUGUGUAUGCUUUUCUUAACUAUUAAUCGGUUUUGGAAUAAGGGCUGGGAAAGACCGGUGCCAGCCGCCGCGGUAAUACCGGCAGCUCAAGUGGUCGUCGCUUUUAUUGGGCCUAAAACGUCCGUAGCCUGUUUGGUAAAUCUGUGGGUAAAUCAACCAGCUUAACUGGUUGAAUUCUGCAGAGACUGCCAGACUAGGGACCGGGAGAGGUGUGGGGUACUCUAGGGGUAGGGGUAAAAUCCUGUCAUCCUUAGAGGACCACCAGUUGCGAAGGCGCCACACUGGAACGGAUCCGACGGUCAGGGACGAAGCCUAGGGGCACGAACCGGAUUAGAUACCCGGGUAGUCCUAGGUGUAAACGCUGUGAACUUGGUGUCGGGGAUCCGUAAUGGGUUCUCGGUGCCGGAGUGAAGAUGUUAAGUUCACUGCCUGGGGAGUACGGUCGCGAGGCUGAAACUUAAAGGAAUUGGCGGGGGAGCACUGCAACGGGAGGAGCGUGCGGUUU